AUGGCAGAAUAGUGCAACAGAAUUAAGAACUGUGAAUGAUUUAUAUCCACUA
rnacentral:tRNA from 1 species